CUAUUUUGGGAGGGAAAAUUCUUAUUCUAGGCAAAGUCAUAACGUCACAGAAAAAACUGGCAAUGCUGACCAAAAUAACUUGUACAAUCACAAUGACAUCCAGACAAAACAAAUCACAAAAACAAGGAACAAUCACCUACAAAAAGGAGAUCUCAUUCCCAUUCCUAUUCAAUAUCACUAAGCACAACUAUCAACCACUAGUACUACUUAAGCAGUAACCAAGAAGCAAAACUAUGUGAAAUCAUCUGAUAUCAUGACAAUUU
rnacentral:lncRNA from 1 species